rnacentral:rRNA from 1 species
CCUACGGGUGGCUGCAGUGGGGAAUAUUGCACAAUGGGCGCAAGCCUGAUGCAGCCAUGCCGCGUGUGUGAAGAAGGCCUUCGGGUUGUAAAGCACUUUCAGCGGGGAGGAAGGCGGUGAGGUUAAUAACCUCAUCGAUUGACGUUACCCGCAGAAGAAGCACCGGCUAACUCCGUGCCAGCAGCCGCGGUAAUACGGAGGGUGCAAGCGUUAAUCGGAAUUACUGGGCGUAAAGCGCACGCAGGCGGUCUGUCAAGUCGGAUGUGAAAUCCCCGGGCUCAACCUGGGAACUGCAUUCGAAACUGGCAGGCUAGAGUCUUGUAGAGGGGGGUAGAAUUCCAGGUGUAGCGGUGAAAUGCGUAGAGAUCUGGAGGAAUACCGGUGGCGAAGGCGGCCCCCUGGACAAAGACUGACGCGCAGGGGCGAAAGCGUGGGGAGCAAACAGGAUAGAUACCCGAGUAGUC